UACACUCCUGCGGGAGGCAGCAGUGGGGAAUUUUACGCAAUGGGGGAAACCCUGACGUAGCGACACCGCGUGAGCGAAGAAGCCCUUUGGGGUGUAAAGCUCUGUCAGCUGGAACGAAAACAAUGACGGUACCAGCAGAGGAAGCAUCGGCUAACUACGUGCCAGCAGCCGCGGUAAGACGUAGGAUGCGAGCGUUGUCCGGAUUUAUUGGGCGUAAAGAGUUCGUAGGUGGUUUGUUAAGUUUGGUGUUAAAGAUCGGGGCUCAACCCUGGGACUGCACUGAAUACUGGCAGACUCGAGUGUGGUAGAGGCUAGUGGAAUUCCCAGUGUAGCGGUGAAAUGCGUAGAUAUUGGGAAGAACACCGGUGGCGUAGGCGACUAGCUGGGCCAUAACUGACGCUGAGGAACGAAAGCCAGGGGAGCGAAUGGGAUUAGAUACCCGAGUAGUCCCAUGAU
rnacentral:rRNA from 1 species